CGCAGUCGACGGCAGCGCGAAAGAGCUUGCUCUUUUUGGCGGCGAGUGGCGAACGGGUGAGUAAUAUAUCGGAACGUGCCCAGUAGCGGGGGAUAACUACGCGAAAGCGUGGCUAAUACCGCAUACGCCCUACGGGGGAAAGGGGGGGAUCCUUCGGGACCUCUCACUAUUGGAGCGCCCGAUAUCAGAUUAGCUAGUUGGUGAGGUAACGGCUCACCAAGGCCACGAUGCGUAGCCGACCUGAGAGGGUGAUCGGCCACAUUGGAACUGAGACACGGUCCAGACUCCUACGGGAGGCAGCAGUGGGGAAUAUUGCACAAUGGGCGAAAGCCUGAUGCAGCAACGCCGCGUAAGUGAUGAAGGCUUUCGAGUCGUAAAGCUCUUUGAUCAGGGAUGAUAAUGACAGUACCUGAAAAACAAGCCACGGCUAACUACGUGCCAGCAGCCGCGGUAAUACGUAGGUGGCGAGCGUUGUCCGGAAUUACUGGGGCGUAAAGGGAUGCGUAGUGGAUAUUUAAGUGGGAUGUGAAAUCCUCGGGCUCAACCC
rnacentral:rRNA from 1 species